GUAACGCGUAGGCAACCUGCCCUUUAGUGGGGAAUAACUUCGGGAAACCGUAGCUAAUACCGCAUAAUAUCCUAGAACCGCAUGGUUUCUGGAUCAAAGCCUUCGGGCGCUAAUGGAUGGGCCUGCGUUGGAUUGGUAGUUGGUGAGGUAACGGCUCACCAAGCCUACGAUCCGUAGCUAGGGUCUGAGAGGAUGAUCAGCCACACUGGCACUGAGACACGGGCCAGACUCCUACGGGAGGCAGCAGUGAGGAAUAUUGCGCAAUGGGCGAAAGCCUGACGCAGCCACGCCGCGUGAAGGAUGACACCCCUAUGGGGCGUAAACUUCUUUUAUGAGAGAAGAAAACCUGACUCGGUCAGGCUUGACGGUAUCUCAAGAAUAAGCACCAGCUAACUCCGUGCCAGCAGCCGCGGUAAUACGGAGGGUGCAAGCGUUGUCCGGAAUCACUGGGGUGUAAAGGGUGUGUAGGCGGGGCCGACAGUCAGAGGUGAAAUCCCACGGCUUAACCGUGGAACUGCCUUUGAUACUUCGGUUCUUGAGUCUCGGAGAGGUCACUAGAAUUCGUGGUGUAGCGGUGAAAUGCGUAGAUAUCACGAGGAAUACCAGAAGCGUAGGCGGGUGACUGGACGAGUACUGACGCUGAGGCACGAAAGCGUGGGGAGCAAACAGGAUUAGAUACCCUGGUAGUCCACGCCGUAAACGAUGGAUGCUCGGUGUUGCCCCGCUUUAGGGGCAGUGCCUAAGCUAACGCGUUAA
rnacentral:rRNA from 1 species